rnacentral:rRNA from 1 species
UACAGAGGGUGCAAGCGUUGUUCGGAAUUAUUGGGCGUAAAGAGCGUGUAGGCGGCCAGGUAGGUCUGCUGUGAAAACUCGAGGCUCAACCUCGAGACGUCGGCGGAAACCAUCUGGCUAGAGUCCGGAAGAGGAGAGUGGAAUUCCUGGUGUAGCGGUGAAAUGCGCAGAUAUCAGGAAGAACACCUGUGGCGAAGGCGGCCCCCUGGGCCGGCCCUGACACUGAGACGCGAAGGCGUGGGGAGCGAACGGG